GAUGAACGCUAGCUACAGGCUUAACACAUGCAAGUCGAGGGACCGGCGCACGGGUGAGUAACACGUAUCCAACCUGCCCUUUACUCGGGGAUAGCCUUUCGAAAGACAGAUUAAUACCCGAUAUAAAGGAUGGGGAUGGGUUCCAUUAGGUUGUUGGUGAGGUAACGGCCCACCAAGCCUUCGAUGGAUAGGGGUUCUGAGAGGAAGGUCACCGACAUUGGAACUGAGGCACGGUCCAAACGCCUACGAGAGGAAGCAGUGGGGAAUAGUAGUCAAUGGGCGUUAGCCUGAACCAGCCAAGUAGCGUGAAGGAUGAAGGAUUAUGGGUCGUAAACUUCUUUUAUAUAAGAAUAGGUAUUAUAUGAAUAAGGAUCGGCUAACUCCGUGCCAGCAGCCGCGGUAAUUC
rnacentral:rRNA from 1 species